ensembl:ncRNA C11E4.13 ncRNA
UCCCGCGCGAAGAAUGCCUCGUAAUGUAUUGCAUUUUACUCGCUUUUCACCAAAAUCUCGACAAGAGUGGUGAAA